rnacentral:rRNA from 1 species
AGCAGCCGCGGUAAUUCCAGCUCCAAUAGCGUAUAUUAAAGUUGUUGCAGUUAAAAAGCUCAUAGUUGAAUUUCGGGAUCAAUAUAUCGGUCGUGCCUUUGGUACGUACUGGUAUCAUUGAUUUCUCCUUUCUGACGAAUCAUGAUGUCAUUAAUUUGGUGUUAUGAGGAGUUAGGACUGUUACUUUGAAAAAAUUGAGUGUUUAAAGCAGGCAUUAGCUUGAAUACAUUAGCAUGGAAUAAUGAAAUAGGACGUUUGACCCUAUUUUGUGGUUUUUAGGAUCGACGUAAUGAUUAAUAGGGAUAGUUGGGGGCAUUAGUAUUCAAUUGUCAGAGGUGAAAUUCUUGGAUUUAUUGAAGACUAACUACUGCGAAAGCAUUUGCCAAGGAUGUUUUCAUUAAUCAAGAACGAAAGUUAGGGAUCGAAGACGGUCAGAUACCGUGUAGUCUUAACCAUAAACUAUGCCGACUAGGGAUCGGAUGAUGUUAAUUUUAUAAUGA